rnacentral:rRNA from 1 species
AUUGAACGCUGGCGGCAUGCCUUACACAUGCAAGUCGAACGGCAGCACGGGGGCAACCCUGGUGGCGAGUGGCGAACGGGUGAGUAAUAUAUCGGAACGUACCCUGGAGUGGGGAGUAACGUAGCGAAAGUUACGCUAAUACCGCAUACGAUCUAAGGAUGAAAGUGGGGGAUCGCAAGACCUCAUGCUCCUGGAGCGGCCGAUAUCUGAUUAGCUAGUUGGUGGGGUAAAGGCCUACCAAGGCAUCGAUCAGUAGCUGGUCUGAGAGGACGACCAGCCACACUGGGACUGAGACACGGCCCAGACUCCUACGGGAGGCAGCAGUGGGGGAAUUUUGGACAAAUGGGGGGCGAACCCCUGAUCCAGCAAUGCCGCGUGAGUGAAGAAGGCCUUCGGUUGUAAG